UACGGGAGGCAGCAGUGAGGAAUAUUGGACAAUGGAUGGAAAUCUGAUCCAGCCAUGCCGCGUGCAGGAAGACGGCCCUAUGGGUUGUAAACUGCUUUUGUAUGGGAGCAAUAAGCCCUUCGUGAAGGGUGAUGAGAGUACCAUACGAAUAAGCAUCGGCUAACUCCGUGCCAGCAGCCGCGGUAAUACGGAGGAUGCAAGCGUUAUCCGGAUUUAUUGGGUUUAAAGGGUGCGUAGGCGGUUUGAUAAGUCAGCGGUGAAAUUUUUCUGCUUAACAGGAAAAAUGCCGUUGAUACUGUCUGGCUUGAAUAUGGUUGGGGUGGGUGGAAUGUGUGGUGUAGCGGUGAAAUGCUUAGAUAUCACACAGAAUAUCGAUUGCGAAGGCAGCUCACAAAGCCAUUAUUGACGCUGAGGCACGAAAGUGUGGGGAUCAAACAGGAUUAGAUACCCUGGUAGUCCACACUGUAAACGAUGAUAACUCGCUGUCGGCGAUACACAGUCAGUGGCCAAGCGAAAGCGAUAAG
rnacentral:rRNA from 1 species